CAACUUGAGAGUUUGAUCCUGGCUCAGAGCGAACGCUGGCGGCAGGCUUAACACAUGCAAGUCGAACGGGCACCUUCGGGUGUCAGUGGCAGACGGGUGAGUAACACGUGGGAACGUGCCCUUCGGUUCGGAAUAACUCAGGGAAACUUGAGCUAAUACCGGAUACGCCCUUAUGG
rnacentral:rRNA from 1 species